AAUCUCUACCCUUCAUCCUACAAAAGGCAUUUUUGUAAAUACUUAACAUUAUUAGGGCAAGAAUAGAGCACAGUUUUUAUGGAAAUAUUAUUUGAAUCCUUCCAAAAAAUGGAAGUGCAGCCACCGAUGGAGCACAUCGUUGUCUCUCUCUCUCUCUCUUUGGGGAAACCGAUCUACUCCAUCUUCUCUCUCUCUCUCUCUCUCACACACACACACACAACCAACAAUACCUCUCCGUCUUCGUCUUCCGAAUCCCACCAACGCCAAGCCGCCGAUGACUUCCACCAGUCCACACGCUCUUUUCCCUUCAUCACUCUGUCAAUCGUCUCUCUCCCCCAUACCCACCGCCACUCCCCUCUCUAUUUUGAUUUCGGGUUCUCUCUCUCAUUCGUCCAGGGCAUGAAGUACUUGGAUGAAAAUGAGUGAGUCUGAAAGUGCUUUUGGAGGUAAAAGAAACAUUGUUUUUCUUUUCAGGGCAUUAAGUACUUGCAUUAUUUUCCUUUAAUUCUUUUUGACUCCAAUACAGUUAUUGUUUGAAAAAUCAAAGUAGCAUGUCUUUUGGCAAAUGGAGUUUGUUCCUUUUUGCCUUAUUAACUGUUGUUGAUUUUUGCUCUACAGGUUUUAAGAUUCCACAUCCAAAAUAUGCUCUUUCAAACUCAACUGAGACGACAUGAAAAGACUUUAAGAGUUGCCAUAUUGUCUCGCAUUGGCAUGGCAGACGAAUUUGGUGAUCUUGAACUAUUGUAAUUUGGAUAGCAUGAAAGACUCAAUAGAGACAGCCGGACAUUUGUUUAUGUUAGCGACAAAGAGUAGUUUUUUCUUCUUCUUUUUUGCCUUCACCGGAGUAGCAGGAACCACCGAGGUCAAAGGUUCGCCGAAGACAAAAAUGCACAGAAGUUGGUAGCAUGGAAUCGCACUCAUGGAUUUUCGCUCCCAUGGACACUAAUAAUUUCAAAUGCCAAGAGAAUUCGAAUAAACCAAUUUGCGUUCAUGCUGUCCAAUGUAAGAUUUUUCCGUACAUGAUUUCAUGGUUAAUAUUUUUUUUCAUUAUAUACCUACACUUCGAAUUUGUGAAUUUUUUCGUGCAUACAAUAGUAUCGCGUUAUUGGCCGCAUCGAAAAAAUAUAUGUUGAACACCUAUGG